rnacentral:rRNA from 1 species
GAUCCUGGCUCAGGAUGAACGCUAGCUACAGGCUUAACACAUGCAAGUCGAGGUGCAGCAUGUUGGUUGCUUGCAACCGAUGAUGGCGACCGGCGCACGGGUGAGUAACGCGUAUCCAACCUACCCUUGUCCAUCGGAUAACCCGUCGAAAGGCGGCCUAACACGAUAUGCGGUUCACAGCAGGCAUCUAACGUGAACGAAAUGUGAAGGAGAAGGAUGGUGAGNGCGU